rnacentral:lncRNA from 1 species
GAGGACACAGAGGAGGAGGAGGAGGAAGAAGGAGAAAAGUGGAGCAGAAGUACAUGGUUUGGAGAAACUGAAAGUUCGAAGGGUUCUCAUAAGCUCUGAAAGAUGGAGUGUAUUGGAAGCUCUGCUCUGAGAUAGCUGCCAUAGAGAAGAUCGGAGGACCUGGUUCCUAGAUAAUUCCGGAAGUGACAUCCUGAGUCACCUCUCCAUACCAUAGAGCUGGAAGGGGUUGCUGUCAGGGGUCCAGGAACUCCUCUGCCUAGAAAGGAAAGUUAGCAGUGACCAACUGGGAGAGGGACAAGAGCAUGUGGCUGGAUUGGAAGUGGCCACGAAGGUCACAUCUGGCUUGGUGUCCUCACCUCCUGACAUAGGGGUCUGAGUAUCUCCAGUG